CUCCUUCUUCCUAUACUCUAGAGCAUACUCCUUUCACGUUAGUGCCGAUGGUCAGAUGCAGCCGGUCCCCUUUCCCCCUGAUGCGCUCAUUGGACCGGGAAUCCCCCGACAUGCCCGACAGAUCAACACCCUUAACCAUGGGGAAGUAGUGUGUGCAGUGACCAUCAGCAACCCCACAAGACACGUGUACACAGGUGGCAAGGGCUGUGUAAAGGUCUGGGACAUCAGCCAUCCUGGCAACAAAAGCCCAGUCUCUCAGCUGGACUGUCUGAACAGGGAUAACUACAUCCGCUCCUGCAGAUUGCUCCC
rnacentral:lncRNA from 1 species